rnacentral:rRNA from 1 species
UGGGGAAUAUUGGACAAUGGGGGAAACCCUGAUCCAGCAAUGCCGCGUGAAUGAAGAAGGCCUUAGGGUUGUAAAGUUCUUUCACCUGUGAAGAUAAUGACGGUAGCAGGAUAAGAAGCCCCGGCUAACUCCGUGCCAGCAGCCGCGGUAAGACGGAGGGGGCUAGCGUUGUUCGGAAUGACUGGGCGUAAAGGGCGCGUAGGCGGUUUUUUAAGUGAGGCGUGAAAGCCCUGGGCUUAACCCAGGAAUUGCGUUUCAGACUGGAAAACUUGAGUACGAGAGAGGUAAGUGGAAUUCCUAGUGUAGAGGUGAAAUUCGUAGAUAUUAGGAAGAACACCAGUGGCGAAGGCGGCUUACUGGCUCGUAACUGACGCUGAGGCGCGAAAGCGUGGGGAGCAAACAGG